ACGUUUUGCUUCUUUUCUCAUCUUAUAAAUACACCACACAACUCCAUCCCUCAUACACCAAACGCACACACAACUUAAGAAUCGAUCAAUAGAGCAUCUAUCAUUCUGCUGGACAAUAACACCCGUUUCAGUCUCGAUAGCAAGCAGUUUCAAUUGGUUGAAUUUUGCUUCAUUAAUUUGCUGUGACCAGAAUGAGUUCAUCAGACAGCAAGCCAUGUGGUGGUCUUAAGACGGAGUGGCCGGAGCUAGUUGGCCUCACCAUCGAGCAGGCCAAGGCGAAAAUCAAGGCUGACCGUCCAGACCUCCAAGUUGAGGUGCUCCCAGUAGGAACCAUCAUCCUGGGAGUGGUCGUCCCGAACCGUGUCAUCCUCUGGGUCGACACUGUGGCCGAGAUUCCCAAGAUUGGCUAAUUAGUUUUAAGCUGUGUCUAGCUAUAAGUGUAAUGAUACAAUAAUGAAAGGUCCUUGCUUUUUAUAUAUAUCUGAUGCAUGUUGUAAUGUGAUAAAUAAAGAAGGUAUAAAUAAAGAAGAUAGUAUGUGCAUGUACGUAUGACAGUUUCAUGGCCAACAUGCGCACAUGUGAGAUUGUAAUUUGUAAGAUAUAUUUUCAUGAAUCUCUCACGAUCAUUUGCAUUUAGCAUUGUCAUUUCA